rnacentral:rRNA from 1 species
CAAAUCAUGUAAGUUUUUAAUAGUCGAACAGACUAACUUCAUUUAGCUUCUUCACCAAAAUAAAAAUUAAUUCAACAUCGAGGUCACAAACUUAAAUUAUUAAUAAGAACUUGUCAAUUAAAUAAUGCUGUUAUCCCUAGAGUAACUUAAAUCAAAUAUUAAUUUUUCUAAUUUUAAAAAUUUAUAUCUUCAAAUGUUACCCCAACUAAAAAUUUUUAAAUUAAAUUUUAAGCUUCUAGGGUCUUCUCGUCCCAAAAAUUAAUAAAAGCAUUCUUACUUUUAAUUUAAAUUCAAAAUAAUUAAAUAAAACUUUCUUUUUAGUAUUAAACCCUUCAUUCCAGCCUCCAAUUAAAAGA